rnacentral:misc_RNA from 1 species
AUGCUCAGCUGCCGGCGCCA